CUGUUCUACUAUUCUCUGCUUCUGUGUCUCUGUUUUUGUUUUUUUUUUCUCUUUUUUGCAGGUACCCAUGGUGGUUAACGACGAUUGGAAGCCACACUUUUCCAUUUCAGUGAAAUGGUGGCAGGGGAGGCGUGGGGACUUUGGGAGACAUGCUUGCUGAUGCGGCAAAGGCGGCGACUGGAAGGGCUAAAGGGAAAUUAGGGUUCUUGAUGUGUUUAGGAUAGUGGACUUUGGGCUUAGGUUUUUUUAGAUUUUAGGGUUUGAAAAUGGAUUUGGUCAUUGGGCUUGUAAAUUGGACUGUUAAUGAACUUUUAUUUUUUUGUUUUAUUUGUUUGGGCCGGGCAAAAUUGGGCUUAUACAAUACUGAUGAAACAAUUGUUUCAUACAUAAUGAUGAAUACGAAGAAAUUACCUAUUUUUUCUUUUUGGGUUAAAAAUUACCUAGAGCAAGGGUG
rnacentral:lncRNA from 1 species